rnacentral:lncRNA from 1 species
CUUCGCCAACGCGUUCGUUUACCUAGCAAUUAGGUUUACGGAGGGUUAAAUGAGAUCAAACCCUCAUAUUUUACAAAACCCCAUUUUCUAAGCCUAAUAUGAAUUAAUCUCCAAAUAAUCCAAAUUAAAUAGAGCAAACAUGUUUAGAAUGCUCAUUAGAGGCUAUUAGAACACUUAGAACUAAGGAUUAAGCCAAAUCCUAAAAGCUUACCUCAAUGUGAACGCCGCGACGAAAACACACCGCUCCAACGGGCGCACGAAAGCUCAAUCCGUCGCCUCCAACGCGUUCGCAAGCAUCUUCUCCACCAACCCCGCGAAUUUGAGAGAGAGAUAUGGAGAGAUGAGAGAGAAAUCUAGAGAGAGGAAUGAAGGUUUCUCUCACUAGCACCAUGCGUGCGUGUGUGUGGGUGCUCGGGCUGAAGGAGAGGAAGAAAGAAGCUUCAGCUUCUUUAUAAUACACCCGACACUAUUCACUCCCGGCAGCUUGAAAUCUGAUAACUUUCGCCGGAGCUCCCUGAAUGUCCGUUUGAGCUCAAACUUGACAGUCAUGUUCAGUUUUACUUAACUUAACAAGCUAACGAUCACUGGUUCAGUUUCGACCCCGUUUGGUCACUGAAAACUGUACCGAACUGCAAUUUUUAUCAGAUAGCUUUCGGAUUUUAUUUCUCACUCUAUGGGUGUCAGAAAAAUAUGAAACUUUAAAUCUAACCUCAUAAAAAUAUUUCUGACAUCUCUGCCAAUUUUCAAAAUUUUCUGAGACUGUGCAUUUUUUGCUAAUUUAUCUGCCCUGUUUCCAACAGAAAAUUUUAAAUCUUCUGUUUUAAUUCCGAUUUCAGCACAAGUCACUUCUGACUUAUGUUUUACUUCUAUAAAUCCAAUAAAAAUAGUUUUCCAUACUAUUUUUAUUUAUUUUUAUUUUUAUACCAAAAUCUGGUAUGUUACAGAUUUCCCAUCAAUACAUCUCCACCUUCAAUAGACUUGUACGUCGAGAACCAUUCUCUAUG